UCCGAGAUAGUGGUCAGUAUUUCCGUCUGUCACGCGGAAGACCCGGGUUCGAUUCCCGGUUUCGGAG
rfam:Gregarina niphandrodes unplaced genomic scaffold scaffold00183, whole genome shotgun sequence.